UGUUUAUGUCUGUUCUCUAAAAAGUUAUUUUCUUUUCUUGUAAUGUAAUAUUUUUGUUGUCGCUUGUUUGUAUUUAUAACAGCACAUGUCAGUGUAAUAAUGUAUUCUCGUUCCUAAAAAGAAACUCUAUAAAUUUUUAGCGUUACGGAAAAACGCGGGGAAAAGAAUUACGUCCCCUUCUACUGUUUCAAUCAUCGUUAAUAGCGACGUCGCCUCAGAACGAGGGCAAACGAUGGAAACUGCAGUCGGCCGAAGUGAUAGUUCGUAAUUCAGCAAUAGCAUCUCUUGUUUACUUUCUGUCAAUGGUACUCCCGCAACGGAAAGUAGACCCACCAGGAAUUUAUGAGAAGCAUAUUAAGGCAGUGUAUGGUUACAAUGUUGUGCUACAUCUAUCCUAGAAGUGAUUCUGACAAUGUUAUUUUCGAACUGAGUCUGACAGUGCUAUCCUAGAACUGGUUCUGACGGUGCUUCCUUAGAACUGAGUCUGACAGUGUUACUCUAGAACUGAUUCUGAUAGUGUUACCCUAGAACUGAUUCUGACAGUACUUACCUAGAACUGAGUCUGACAGUGUUGCCCUAGAACUGAUUCUGAGAGUUCUUACCUAGAACUGAGUCUGACAGUGCUACCCUAGAACUUAUUCGGACAGUGCUACCCUAGAACUGAGUCUGACAGUGCCACCAAAGAACUGAUUCUGACAGUGCUACCUUAGAACUGAUUCUGACAGUGUUACCCUAGAACUGAUUCUGACAAUGUUUCUCUAGAACUGAUUCUGAAAGUCCUACACUAGAACUGAUUCUGACCGUGCUACCCUAGAACUAAGUCUGACAGUGCUACCUUUGAACUGAGGUUUGAUUGCGCAUGUCUGAAAGGAAACAAACGUUUUUUGAAGCUCCGAUAAUAAAUAUGACUUGUGAUUUUCUCAGGAAAACAGCUUCCACGUGUGACUUUAACAUGAUUGAGUGCCUUUGGUUCAGUGUUUGUACGUUACGGACAUCAACUAUAUAAAUUUUGAAUCAUAUUUAACGUAAAACUAAGAUGUGACAUUGAACAGGUAUAAUGUUUUAAUAGUACCAUUCGAGGGCACCUUUUAAAAAUAAACAAACAAACAUUCCGAUGAUGAUAUAGACUAUGUUACUCGAGUGUCCGUCAUUAAAAAUCAAACUUGAGAUAUAAUAUAUUUGUGUCCUAUACUGAUUCCAUAAAUACAAAAAAGCGAAGACGUAGAAACUCAGCCAGGCCAUCCCCCCAACACAGAUUGCCAUAAACAAAAAUUUUACCAGAAGUACUGACCUUGAUAGCUCUACUGAUAGCAUGGUAGCUACCAACCAACAACCCAUGAUUGUGACAGUGAUAUCACAAAAAUAGCUAUAUCAGUUAAGCAAAUGUCGACUGAUGAAUUCAAAGUCCUUAUUGAAGAAAAACAGAGGCCUAUUCUCUUUGAACUAGCCGAAAUUUUAUUUUGACAGUGCUACCUUAGAACUGAUUCUGACAGUGUUACCCUGGAACCCAGUC